rnacentral:rRNA from 1 species
GACGAACGCUGGCGGCGUGCCUAAUACAUGCAAGUAGAACGCUGAAGCUUGGUGCUUGCACCGAGCGGAUGAGUUGCGAACGGGUGAGUAACGCGUAGGUAACCUGCCUGGUAGCGGGGGAUAACUAUUGGAAACGAUAGCUAAUACCGCAUAAGAGUAGAUGUUGCGUGACAUUUGCUUAAAAGGUGCAAUUGCAUCACUACCAGAUGGACCUGCGUUGUAUUAGCUAGUUGGUGAGGUAACGGCUCACCAAGGCAACGAUACAUAGCCGACCUGAGAGGGUGAUCGGCCACACUGGGACUGAGACACGGCCCAGACUCCUACGGGAGGCAGCAGUAGGGAAUCUUCGGCAAUGGACGGAAGUCUGACCGAGCAACGCCGCGUGAGUGAAGAAGGUUUUCGGAUCGUAAAGCUCUGUUGUAAGAGAAGAACGAGUGUGAGAGUGGAAAGUUCACACUGUGACGGUAUCUUACCAGAAAGGGACGGCUAACUACGUG